rnacentral:rRNA from 1 species
GACGAACGCUGGCGGCGUGCUUAACACAUGCAAGUCGAACGGAAAGGCCCUGCUUUUGUGGGGUGCUCGAGUGGCGAACGGGUGAGUAACACGUGAGUAACCUGCCCCUGACUUUGGGAUAACUUCAGGAAACUGGGGCUCAUACCGGAUAGGAGCUCCUGCAGCAUGGUGGGGGUUGGAAAGAUUCGGCGGUUGGGGAUGGACUCGCGGCUUAUCAGCUUGUUGGUGGGGUAGUGGCUUACCAAGGCUUUGACGGGUAGCCGGCCUGAGAGGGUGACCGGCCUCAAUGGGACUGAGGGACGGCCCAGUAGCCAAUGUGAGGCAGCAGGGGGGAGUAUUGCAGAGUGGGCGGAAGCCAGAUGCAGCAACGCCGCGUGCGUAAUGACGUCCUUCGGGGUGUAAACCGCUGUCGCCUGUGACGAAGCGUGAUUGACGGUAAUGAGUAAAGAAGCACCGGCUAACUACGUG